GGCUCUCUGGUUGCAGUUGCAUAGGAUAGGGAGUCGGGCCUGCCCGGUGAUGUUGUGUUUAACGGCUGCAAGUAACUUUGUGCUAAGGUAGCGCAGUCACUCGUCUUUUAAUUGGAGAAAGGUAUGAAUGGUUUGACGAGGGAAAAUCUGUCUCAAGGAUAUGGGCUAAAGUUUUCUUUUAAGUGAAAAGACUUAAAUUUUUAAAUAAGAAGAGAAGACCCCGGCGAGCUUGAUGAUUAUUGUUGCGGGAUGUGUAAUGACAGCUAAGUUUUGAUGGGGCAUCAGGAAAAGAAAAAAAUCUUUUACCUAGGGUAUGAAGAUCCCCUAUUGAGGGAAGCAAGCAAAAGCUACCGCGGGGAUAACAGCGCUAUCUCUUCAUAGAGUUCUAAUCGAAAAAGAGAACUUGCGACCUCGAUGUUGGAUUAAAGACUCGCUUUGGUGCAGGGGCUAAAGUGGAUGAGACUGUUCGUCUUUUAAAUCUUU
rnacentral:rRNA from 1 species